AAUUAGUUAUAUAAAAUGUAUAUAUAGAUAUUUGUUUUAUUAAUAUUGUUUGCUUUGUUUAGUGUUUAGGAUAAUGUAUAUAUAGAUUUUAAUUGUUAUAUCUAUGAUUUCAUCCGUACUAUAUCGGUUCGUAUUACUAUCGAUCCAAAUCCAUCAUACUAUCUAAUCCUGCACAGUAAAAUUAAACAUAUCUAAUGGAUUUCACUUGUGGUAUACCGUCUCGUAAUACUAUCGACCAAACCCGUCCUACCACUAACUCCGUUCAGUAAAAUUAGAUAUUAUUUUGUUAUUUUUGUUUUAAUAAUACUUUAAUUUAAAAAAUAUUUAAUUCAAAUCAAUUUAAAAGUUUUCUUUCAAAUGGUUAUUUAAUUGUUGUAAAGUUUAUAUAUUAUAAUAUUAUAAACACGUCCUACCAUCUAGUCCUACUAUCUAAUCAUGUUCGAUGAAAUUAAUUUUUUAUUUUUUUAAUAAUAUUUUUAUUAAAAGAUUUAUAAUUUAAAUCAAUUUAAAGUUUUCUUUCAAAAUGAUUAUUUAAUUUUUAAAUAUUUUUAACUAUUUUGGCAAAAAUAAUUAGGACAUAGAAUAAGAGCAUAUUCCUUUGAAUAAGAUUUGCUUUGAUUUUGUAGUUAAUUUUUGCAUUGAAUAAACCAGUGGCAGCCAUUGUAAAUAAGUUCUAACUCCAAGAUUUAUUUCACAAAAUGGCUGCAAAAAUGUAUAUGUAGAUAUAUAUAUAUA
rnacentral:sRNA from 1 species